UACGAAGGGGGCGAGCGUUGUUCGGAAUACUGGGCGUAAAGCGUGCGCAGGCGGUUUUGUAAGUCAGAUGUGAAAUCCCCCGGGCUUAACCUGGGAACUGCGUUUGAAACUACAAGGCUAGAGUGUGGCAGAGGGGGGGUGGAAUUCCACGUGUAGCAGUGAAAUGCGUAGAGAUGUGGAGGAACACCGAUGGCGAAGGCAGCCCCCUGGGUUAACACUGACGCUCAGGCACGAAAGCGUGGGGGAGCAAACAGG
rnacentral:rRNA from 1 species